rnacentral:lncRNA from 1 species
UAACCCAUAAAUUAAUAUCUCAAUCCAGGUCUCUUCCCAAAACGCGGUGGUCCAGAACAGAUGUUGGCCUACUGCAUGCUGGCCUGAAACAGUAGUGCCUGAUGACUUUCUAUCUCAAGAGAGAUCAGGUGCUGAUAAAAAAAUAAAUAAGACAGUACAAAUAAAAUUGCAAACUCUGGAGAUGGGAAAGAAAUGGCAGAAGAUGCUUCUAUGGAAUAAUUAGUCCACUGUUGAGAGGAGUUUUAUGCAAAGUUUGAAAUGCUACAAAAUUUAGAGGUUAUUUAAUAAGGGAAUUCAAAUCUGAAAUAAGUGGAUAGAAAAGCAUAUGAGAAGGUAAGUGGAAAAAUAAGCAACAUGUAAAUAACAAAGUAUCAUAAACACUUUAUUUCUUGAACCAAGAAGAUAAGCAAGAUUAGGAAAUGAAACUACCUCUUACUA